rnacentral:rRNA from 1 species
ACGAGNGGCGGACGGGUGAGUAAUGCUUGGGAACUUGCCUUNGUGAGGGGGAUAACAGUUGGAAACGACUGCUAAUACCGCAUAAUGUCUUCGGACCAAACGGGGCUUCGGCUCCGGCGCAAAGAGAGGCCCAAGUGAGAUUAGCUAGUUGGUAAGGUAACGGCUUACCAAGGCGACGAUCUCUAGCUGUUCUGAGAGGAAGAUCAGCCACACUGGGACUGAGACACGGCCCAGACUCCUACGGGAGGCAGCAGUGGGGAAUAUUGCACAAUGGGGGAAACCCUGAUGCAGCCAUGCCGCGUGUGUGAAGAAGGCCUUCGGGUUGUAAAGCACUUUCAGUUGUGAGGAAAAGUUAGUAGUUAAUACCUGCUAACCGUGACGUUAACAACAGAAGAAGCACCGGCUAACUCCGUGCCAGCAGCCGCGGUAAUACGGAGGGUGCGAGCGUUAAUCGGAAUUACUGGGCGUAAAGCGCACGCAGGCGGUUUGUUAAGCUAGAUGUGAAAGCCCCGGGCUCAACCUGGGAUGGUCAUUUAGAACUGGCAGACUAGAGUCUUGGAGAGGGGAGUGGAAUUCCAGGUGUAGCGGUGAAAUGCGUAGAUAUCUGGAGGAACAUCAGUGGCGAAGGCGACUCCCUGGCCAAAGACUGACGCUCAUGUGCGAAAGUGUGGGUAGCGAACAGGAUUAGAUACCCU